ACUACGUAUGAGGUACCUUCUUCCACCACCUCCUUCUUAUCUAAAUCCCCUCUCUUUCUCUCUCAGCCCUAGGAGCAAGCUAGUGAGGGAAAAAACUUGUAGAGUGGAGUUUUCUUGCUAUUGGAGCUAAGAAGAAGCCUGCUAGAGCAGGGGACCAGCUGGAGGAAGCUUUAGAAUUCAGGGGCUGUUAGAAUGGGUAGAUUCUGAUGUUUGGGCUUGUUGGAGCUCCUGAGCAAGAGGUUCAGCUGAAAAAGACUUUGAGCAGGGAAAUCCAGCUAAGGAGGUAUAGAACUCAAGGUAGUAGAUGUAAAGAGAAGGAAAGUAUUGAAGCUGCUAUCUUUGUGAAAUCCCUUGGGUUGCCGAAUUACAAGAUUGAGCUUAGAAGGAAGCUCGUGGAUCAAGGAUUUAACUGAGGAAGGGUUGAAACCUGAGGGAUUGUGGAGUUGAGCUUCUUGCUGUUGAGGUGGUUGCUGCCUUGGUGAAGAUCUGGGUGCCCAAAUUGAAGAAAAACCUGAUGGAGCCUUGAAUUUAGGUUAAACAUGCUCGGGAGUUCGAAUUGACAUUUCGACGAUCCUACAACGCGCUAAUUAAGAAAUACUUCGUUCUAGCUCUAUUUGCAUCGAGUCGUGAGAGUUCGUUGUUAACACGUUCCGAGACGUUGGUUCUAGUGUGUUGGCAUCCCUACAGGUGGGUGGUGCUAUCCGAAUUCAUCGAAUCCCUCUUUAUGUCUAUGUUGCCUUCUUGAGCAUAUCUGUAUAUGAGUAAAAUAAUAUUCAUGCAUUAUAGGGUUAAUGGUAUUAUAUGUCUAUGAAAUGAAUAAUUGGGCAAAUCUCAUUAUUAAGAACAUGUGAACCAUAGAGUGUGGACCUAGAACCCUAUGAAUGUGUGAAUUUUACUGUAGACUAUGACAAUAGUAAACUUGGUGACAUUAUGACUAGAAGCAUUGGUUAGCAUCAAUAUUGGAACUGUAAAACUAGCAUAAAGAGCUAGUUAGAAAUUAAAUUGUGGCAUCGUCAGUUAUUGAAUCCUCUAAGUGAGGAUUGGAUCAUACUCACCUAUUCUGUUUUGGCUUGGUGGUGGUCGCUCCCCCCAAGCAGUGCACUCCGAAGUGUGUCAUUAACUGGGCUGAUCGUGUAAGCCUUCCCAGUAAACAAUCCCGUCGGGAGGCAGCUUAGGGCCCGAUACUUAGGGAUUGCAUUGGUGAGUUAUAGUUAACUAAAUGGUUAACCAAAUGGAUUGGGUAUUGAUUAUUCAUAGCAUGCAUGCAUAAAUUUCAUAUGUUAUCUACAGUUUCUUUCAGCUUUGUACAGGCAUUGUAGUAGUUACAUGUUAUAGCUGGUUACUAUCUAUUCACUU